GCUGCAAUGCAGAUGCAGCAAGUGGAAUCAGUGGGAAAAAAUAAAAAUAAAAAAUUAGACCUGUCCUAAGAGCAGCAUACAAAAUUUGAAAGACGGGAGGAUUAAUAACGUAUUUUAAAGCUGCCCUGGCAUGGCUCUGAUAAGUGUGGCUCUAGUUAAUCCAUGAAGGUAACUUCCAUUAGCACACUACAGUGGAUAGCAGAUUUGAAGAUGUCUGCAAGGGUAUGGUACUCAGUGACUUGGAUGUCCAGAUCUUACCAAAAUAAACCUGUGCCAGCAGUGCUGAAAGAGGAGGACAACAGCAUCAAAAAAACUAGGCCAAAAGUACAUUGAUUUUCAAAUAGAUCUGUGCUCCUAAGUCACUUUAGCACUUUUAAUUGUUUUACAAUUAACAAUAAUGAUUAACAGUCAUGCUCAGCAUUUGAUCGUAAUAAGACUUUUGUCUGGUUGUGGAAUACUGUUCAUGCCCAGUCUCCAACACAAAUCAAAACCAUAUGAGUAACCAGGUUAAGAGACAACCAAGUUGUAACCAAGUUGCCUGAUGUGGCUUAUUUUUGUAUUCCAGCCAGGGCCUGAGGCUCUUACUAGAGAUUUUCCCUGUCCAGCUUGCAUAUUCAAUGUAAACAAUAAUAUUUCCAUCCUUGAGGAGCCCAAGUGAGAUUUUAUAACACAAACAAAGGCAUUAGUGUGUUAAAAAGGUCUCUCAAUCAACUGAAAGUGUGCAGCAGUUUGCAUAUUAGCACAUGUUUUUAAUUAACACUUGGAAGAGAGAAAUACUUGAUGCAAUUAGGAGUGACACAAAUAAAAGUGCCUUUUGUACAUUCUCAAUGUAAACAUCUAAACUGAAAAUAAAAUCAUUCCUGCUCUCACAGAAGGCAACUGGCAUUUAGCUUUUGUGAAAAAUGGCAGCUUAGUCUUUUUUUUUUUCUUUUUUUUUUUUCACACUGCCAGACAGGUUUUUCAACCGACUCGCUUUUGGUGAUGAAAACAUCUCACUUCUUGUGCAACUGUGAAGAGAAAACCCCCGUUUGCUGCACCCCAGGGCAUGGGGGGUUCCAACCUUAUCUCAGCCUUCACAGUCCUUCCUGAGCAGAUGACUCCUAUGUGGCUGCAUUCACACACUCCUCUCUGCAUUUCACCCGAGUUUGCUACUUUAACUGUGCCGAACAUCUGCAGCGGGAAGAAAAGAAGCGGUUUGACUGUAUGUGAGCCAAAGCACACGAUGACUUAGUUUGUGCAGGUAAUGCCAAGAGGGGAGGAAGAAGAAGAAGAAGGAAGAUGCCACCCAGAAGUUUGCAUUAUCAGCUUUUACAGCAGUCUGCUCAUGAGGCUGCCUACAGCCUAGUCCCUAAAUAUACCAAGUGGGCAGGCCCAGAAGCAGAAAGCUCCUUACCAAACACCAUCUGGCUGCUGGUGGUAAUGCCUAGGCCGUGGCUACCCUGGUCUUGCCUGGCCUUGGGUGGGUCUU